CCCGCAUCGUUUCGGCCGGUGAGUGCGCUCGGCCGCUGUCGGCAUGGCAUUCGCCCACGGAGGAGCUCUGCCUGGGAGAGAGGCCCUUUUAGUGCGCCGCCGUCGACCCCCGUGCCCAUUCGCCUCCUCUCCGUUGUGCCUGGGGCGGCCGGCGAGGAUCCCCUCCACUGCUCGCUGAGCCUCUCUCCCCGUUUCCACCUCUCUGGAACCACAGGCGCGGGCGACGGGCGACGGGCGGCGCGAGCGACGGGCGACGGGCGGCGCGGGCGACGGGCAGCGCGGCCGACCUCCGGCGGGGGCCACCGGCGCAGGCAAGGGGCGGCGCGCAGGUAUCCUUGCCCCGAUUCGCAAGCGCCCCCAUGGGUGAAAACCCUAGCGCGCCGCCUCCCACUCCCGCGACCCUUGCUCUCCUCUCCCGGCGCCCGCUCCCAACCCCCUCCACAUGAGUGGUGCCGCUGGUGGAGGCGGGAGUGGCUCCGCCGGUGGUCUCACAGGCUCGCGGGAGCAGCGCUGCUGGUGGAGGCGCGAGUGCGCGGGAGCGACAUCGGCACGGUGGAUCCGCGCCUAGGCGGCGACUUCGUGGAGCACGAGGUGAGCCUGGUGCUGGGGCUUGGCCUGCUGUGCUCGCACCCGCUGGCCGGCGCGCAUCCGACCACACAGCAGGUCGCACAGUAUGUGGACGACGAUCUGAAUCUGCUGGAACUGUCGCCGACGUACGAGGCGGUUUUCCAGUCUGCAUCAUCGUCACGGUCGCCCUCCGAGCUAGCGAUGCUGAGGUCUGCGCUCCUCCAUCUCGCUCCUCCAUCUGGUCUUCGUGAAGGCUUGCAGAUCCUCUCUCUCUCUCUCUUGCUGAAUCUCAAUCUCUCUCACUAAUGCUAGAAAGGGUCGACAGAGGGCAUGGACCAGGCCUAAUCAAUGAAACCAGUAGAGGAUUCGAUUUAUGGUUGGUGCAUACAUGCAGAAUCAAGCAUGCAGAAAUGGGGAUUUCCCAGUAGUAUUUAUUUUUGUUCUCAAAUGUGUACAUAAUAUGUGCACCGCAUGAUAAAUGAAGCCAGUAGAAGAUUCGAUUUAUGGUUACAAAACCUAGGAUUGGUUCUAUGAAAUUUGGUUUCUUGUUGUUCACAGAACGUGCCCAUAACUUGCUACUGAUAAGAACUAAUAUAUACAUGUUAGGUGUUCAACAUGAUUUGUUAAUCAUGUAGGGGAUUGGAUUCAUCGUUGUUUGAAUUAAAUUUAUACCUCAGUUAUUCAGGUUUACUAACAUUUUCCUUUUUCUACAGUCUGAUCAGGGAUGUUAGGCUGUCAUGCAUGUGUGAUUGUAUCAGGCUGAGCUACAUCUAUAAGUCGUCCACUUGAUCAUUGUGUUGAUUCCAGUACAAUUAUUAUUUGUUUGCAAUUCUUACUGCUAUUGGCUGCUGUUAUUUUUGUAGCCGUCGAUAGUUGUUUCAAAAUUUUCCGCUUUUGUAUUAUGACCUUGACUUACUCUAGAAACUUCAAACUUCGGUUUCUGUUGUUGUUAUUCAGGAUGCAUCCUUAUCCGGACUAAUAUACAGUCAUCAGUUUCAAGCGUAAUGAGAGCAAGGUGGAGAAAGGAUAUCGGGAUGUUCCUAUUCACUUGAAGGUUCAGGGUUCUGUGCUACAGGUGAAAGUGGGAUGACUAUGUGUUUCAGAUUUUUGAGAGAAAGGCCAAGAUAUUAGCGUAUAUAUCAGGUUUAUGAAAUCAAUACCGUGGGAGAUGAUCUGGAGCUGCUAAUUUUGGGAUGAUAUGGUUUCAGCCAACGAUUCAACAAGACGUGAUUUGAAGCGGCUACAUGUUUUCCAACAACUACCAUCUAGAUUUGCAGCUUAGUCACACAAGGAACCCAAAGCCGAUGGAAGAAUAGCAAGGUACCCAAGAUCUCGAAGGGGCACAUACUGCAGUGUGGUAUCCAUGGUAGGGAUUCGUGCGGCAAACCCCACCUUUGAUGUCGCUGAGGGAUUUUAUCUGUCACCAAUAAACCUGAUUGAUACACAUAUGCACAGGAGAUCAAUGAUAGCCUCAUGGACUACCCCUAUGAAUGAUUAGCGAUGUUGGAGGAUAAUCAUAAUUGUCAUCGAUGUAGCAGGAGGUCAAAAGGGAGGUGAGGGGUUGCUGAUCAGGACCAAGUUGUGCAUGAAUCAAGCUCAGGUGAAGGAUAUUUUUAGUUCCCCAUUCCGCGUCGGUUACUUCUUUGUAGACAUAAUGGUUCUUAGUUUUGAAUAUAUGAAUAAGCAUAUAAAUUCUCUUGAUCUGGUUCAUAUAAAUAAGUAGCUCUCGCAUUAGUUUGAAUUUUAGUUGAGAAUAAGUAGCACUUGAAUCAGUUGGUUGCAAAAUUUAAGGUUGAUUAAGUUGCCUUGAUGUUACAUGAAGUUUGAUUCCUUCAUAUUCAAAAACAAAAAAACAUCUAUUUGCAAACCUCUGUGAGUGUUUACUUACUUAGGUUGAUGUACCUCGCAACUAUGAUGAUUAACUCUGUGAGGUAGGGCAUCUCUAGGUAGGGAACUAUGUCACGCAGAUGGAGAUCAAUUUCUUUUUUCUCCAAUUUAUUCUAUGCGGGUCAUGGUUCAUCUUCCAAUAUUCCUUGCAUGGAAGAAACAAAGUAAAGCAUGCUCAAGGACACCAACAAAUUUUAGCUGAUGAUGUUCAAGGUGUGUUUGGAGGAAAAAGAUGCAUUUAUUAUUGUUUGUAUCUAAUGUAUUUGGGGUUAAUUGCGCCUCUCUGCCACUGCUGCUCCCCAACCUUUUGUCCCCCUUGACUGCAAAGACAAAUAGCACAUCUCUUUCACCAUUCCCCUCAUCUCAGGUGAUUUUGUUAAUAUUUCAAACUGAAAGUAUGGUCAUUAUUCUUAUUAAAGUCUUCCUUUUCAUGGUUAGCUGCCCGACACUUUGGAUUCCAUCGUCUCAGCAAAGCUGCCACACACUUUGGACUCUAUCGUCUCAACAAAGAUAGCUCCAAUGGCCUAUUUUUGCCUCAUGUGUUGCAUUCGCCUACCUUUGUCUUCGUCUUUAUCAAUACAAGUUUUAGUAAUGUUUCAGUUCGGGCAUAGCCGUACAAAUAUGUGUAGUGCAGCCGUGUUGAAGCUUUGUUUUGGUGAUGUCUUGAUUUAAUCAUAGCUGCACAAAUUUGCUAAAGCUUUAGUUAAUUGUUGUAUUCCCUUGAUGUUGAUACAUAUAUUUGAUAAACCUUUAGUUAAUUAUAGCCUUCAGUUGUUGACAGAGGUAAACUUGAGUGACACACUUGGAGUCUGGAGAUAUGCCACCAUUGUCUUAGACUGGUCCUUCCGCUUUGCGUGCUCCGUUCUGCCAUGUGAUCAUUGAAGGUCUGUAGCCCCAUCUUGCCAGCUACGUGUUACGUCUUCACAUUUAUGGCACAAUUUUACUAGGCGAGCUAAUUUUCCCUUGCUAAUUAUCAGCGAGCUGAGUUCAGACGAGUUUUGUUGAGCUGCAAGUGUAGAGAAAUAUAAGGAGAUAGUGAACCAAACUUCUGCUAUUGGUAUUAGGUUAUUGUGAACAUGUAUUAGAGCAUAGAGGCUGAUUCAGUGAAGUUUGAUGGUGUGUGCAUUCUAUUUCUUCACAAGCUUACAAUGUUCAGAUUCAUGUCAUUGGAGUAUUUGCUUAAUGUGAUAAAAAAUUGAUACAAUAGGAUCAAGGAAUUCAUUGUGUGUUGUCGCCACUUAUCCCAUUUGAUUGCAAUUUCUUGGGGCAGCAAUUCAAUCUUAACUUCGUAGCCCCCGCUGCUCGCCACACCUGGGCAAGCAUGCGAUCAGCAGCAGCUGGCCGCGGUGAGGAUGGGGAGCAGGUCCUUGCCUGAGUAUGUUUUGUGUUUAAUGCAGCUGAACCUCAUCCUUGCAUUGUGUGGUUUCUAUUCUAUCAGUCGGGUUCUUUCUCACCUACAUGUUCUGUGUUGUUACUCUAUUGGAGACGCUUCAGGGCAUACAUUUCCCAGGUACGUAGAGUUUCUGGUUUACACCUGAUAUACUCAGCAGAUCGGCACAGACAGACAAGUUUCAGCUAUCGGUGGUAUCACAGACAGUAUGUCGUACAAUAUACUAUGUAUUUUUACGGUUGAUUUACAUGGGCCAAAAUGUUACCAAGCACCAUGAAUACAUUAUUGGUUUACUUCAUAUAAUUUUUUGCGAU